rnacentral:rRNA from 1 species
CCUACGGGUGGCAGCAGUGGGGAAUAUUGGACAAUGGGGGGAACCCUGAUCCAGCCAUGCCGCGUGUGUGAAGAAGGCCCUCGGGUUGUAAAGCACUUUCAGUGAGGAAGAACGCCUGGUGGUUAAUACCCAUCAGGAAAGACAUCACUCACAGAAGAAGCACCGGCUAACUCCGUGCCAGCAGCCGCGGUAAUACGGAGGGUGCGAGCGUUAAUCGGAAUUACUGGGCGUAAAGCGCGCGUAGGUGGCUUGAUAAGCCGGUUGUGAAAGCCCCGGGCUCAACCUGGGAACGGCAUCCGGAACUGUCAAGCUAGAGUGCAGGAGAGGAAGGUAGAAUUCCCGGUGUAGCGGUGAAAUGCGUAGAGAUCGGGAGGAAUACCAGUGGCGAAGGCGGCCUUCUGGACUGACACUGACACUGAGGUGCGAAAGCGUGGGUAGCAAACAGGAUUAGAUACCUCGGUAGUC